UACAUAAGGAGCAAGCGUUGUCCGGAAUCAUUGGGCGUAAAGAGCGCGCAGGUGGUUGAUUAAGUCUGAUGUGAAAGCCCACGGCUUAACCGUGGAGGGUCAUUGGAAACUGGUCGACUUGAGUGCAGAAGAGGGAAGUGGAAUUCCAUGUGUAGCGGUGAAAUGCGUGGAGAUAUGGAGGAACACCAGUGGCGAAGGCGGCUUCCUGGUCUGCAACUGACACUGAGGCGCGAAAGCGUGGGGAGCAAACAGGA
rnacentral:rRNA from 1 species